GUGACAGUGUUGUCUCUUGCAUAAAACAGUUGACACUCACUUAUUGUAAAGUGAAGAUUGUUCUGCUGCAUGUAAAGUGGACCAUGCAGAUUUCUGUAUGUUUUCAGUAUGCAUCAUUAGAUAAUAAAGUCUUUUGUGAACAAGGCAUUUGUAGCCAUUUUUAAAAGAUUUUGUCUUCAGUGCUGGUAAAUCAGGUAAUACGUAAGAAGAAACCCUUCAUUUUUCUGUAAAUCCUUUAAUUAAAGGGAUUAUUAAAAGUUAUGAUCUUUGGAAGGCGAUAUUAGACUACAUUAAUUAGAUCUCUAAUUAUCAUCAUUGUAAAAGAAAGAAAACAAACCAAAAACCUACAGAUACUGUCUAUCUGCUUUCAUUGUUAUGAAAUUAUUCCUGUAGGAUAUAUGAUUCAAUUCAGGCUUUAACUAAUGUUUGUGCUAUUUUUCUCACUUUUCCUUUUGAUGGUGCUGAAAGAGAGAAAGGAAAGCGAGGCACAGGCCACUCUACGCCUACUCCAUGGGUCUGAUUUGAUGAGACACCAACUUCACCUUCCUAACAAGGCACAAACAUGCACACUUAGUGCAAUCAAGGAUGGAAAAUGAGACUAAGCAGUCAUUCUGCUGGUGGGGUGUUCCCCACCAAGGAGAUGUAAUGAACUACAAAGCAGGCAGGUGAUGGGUGAUGUUACAUACCUAUUUUGAACCUUCUACCUGUCUUUUCUCAGUUUUUAUUUUAAUUUUUAAUUAAAAGUAAAUCUGUUCCUACUUCAACAUGUUAAGUUUCUUGUUCAUACAGGAAAUAGAAUGCAGAUUUCACUCUUACUGAAAUGAAGAACUAGAUACUUGUUAGUUAAUUCCACACAAAGAAAUUUGCACUGUUUUGGUGACGCCUAUAACAUAUCCAGCACUUCUGGUGGCAAUUUUACACAGAUGUAGUGAAAUCCUAUUGUUUCUGUUGAUUUUGACCAUUAUUUUGUAUCCCUAUUUAAGACUCAUGAAAUGAGUUGUCAACUCCAAUAGAAACAAUGUACAUUAUACCUACAGAACUUUUAAAAACUAUUCUAAAGAAGAAUAAAGUUGCUCGUUUACUUGUUCUUUGUGUUGUAGGUGCCGCUCAAAAGAAGAUGAUGACCACCAGAAGACAUGAACAAAGGGUAAGUGGCAGUAAACCUCUGAAGAACCUUUGAAUAUAUUGAUCCAUACACAGAAGGCUGAUCAUUCUGUGAGAAUACAGGAGAUAUAACUUAAUCUUCUACAGUGUAUUAAGUCAUCGACUGUAACUCAUAGUUAUAGCAGCAAAUGUUCAAACUGGCAAUUGCUUCAAGUUAAUAAAAUAAGA